UUCUCAUUUAGUACUUUUCUUCUAGAAUAUUCUCUCUAAGAAAUCAUAGAAACACAGUUUUUUUUCAUGGUAUCAAAGCCAUAUUAAUGGCGUCUUCUGCUAGGUCUUCGUCUUCUGCAACAACAGGAUCAAUCUUGAGUUCUUCAAUCACUCAUGGUGUUAAUCCUUCUUUGCUGCUAUUGUCAAAUAUGGCAAGUAUGGCUACUAUGAAGCUUGACUACAACAAUUAUAUAGUGUGGAGACACCAAAUCGAAGUGAUUUUGGUAGCAUAUUCAAUGAUCAAUUUCAUCGAAUAUGAUCCAUUGCUGGCCAAUAUGCUGUCAAAUAAUCCAUGUGAGCGUCCUUCAGCUACACAGAUUUUACGACUGCUUUGUUUAAAUAUGAAUAAUGUGCAUUGAUUGAGGGCCUGAGAGAGAAGAUUCGGGGCUUGGAAGCUAAAGCACAAAUCCUUGCUUUAGUGAUCAAUAAUUCAGAUGAUUCUAUUCCAAAUAGAAUGAGUCUCUCAUGAGGAGCCCAAAGUAGAUAUUUUCUAUGGUGGUUUGGAAUUUUAUAUUUUCCCUUGAUAUAUGUUAUGUUUUAUAUGAUGCUUGCACUUUGCAUAA